rnacentral:tRNA from 1 species
GCGUUCCAUGGCCCACGGCGGACGAGUGCCUUCGGUGCGUUCGAGUUCGUAGCCGCCUUGCUGCCAGGCGUUGGUCCCGCCAGUGAGGAGCACG